rfam:Salmo salar isolate Sally breed double haploid chromosome ssa12, whole genome shotgun sequence.
UAGCUCAGUUGGUAGAGCGUGGUGUUUGCAACACCAGGGUUGUGGGUUCGAUUCCCAC